AUUGAACGCUGGCGGCAGGCCUAACACAUGCAAGUCGAACGAGCGGCGGACGGGUGAGUAAUGUAUUGGGAUCUGCCUGAUAGAGGGGGCUAACUACUGGAAACGGUGGCUAAUACCGCAUAAUAUCGUUUGGACCCAUAUGGGAUUAGCUAGUAGGUGGGGUAAAGGCACACCUAGGCGACGAUGCCUAGCUGGCCUGAGAGGAUGAUCAGCCACAUUGGGACUGAGACACGGCCCAGACUCCUACGGGAGGCAGCAGUGGGGAAUAUUCCGCAAUGGACGAAAGCCUGAUGCAGCAAUGCCGCGUGAAUGAAGAAGGCCUUCGGGUUGUAAAGCUCUUUUGUCAGAGAGGCGUUAUCCGAAGAAGAAGCCACGGCUAACUCCGUGCCAGCAGCCGCGGUAAUUC
rnacentral:rRNA from 1 species